UACAGUCGGUGAGCACCAAGAUAGCGUG
rnacentral:piRNA from 1 species